CCCAGCUACUCAGGAGGCUGAUGCAGGAGCCCAGGAGUCCAAGGCUAUUGUGAGCUAUGAUCACCCUUAUGAAUAGCCACUGCACUCCAGCCUGGGCAACAUAGGGGGAUCCCACCUCAGAAAAUAAAUGUAAAUCCUCGCCAUUAGCUAUGACUAUAAAUAUCUAAAGCACUUCUUUAAAAAUAAUCAUUAUUCCUGUAUCUUUUAUAUAUGUAAACCUAACAAUGUGGGUUAUGAUUACUUUUAGGCACAUAAUACAUGAAUAGGUGACAGACAGAACAUCUGGUACCAAAGUAUUCUUCAUCUCAUCCACCAGAGGGUACUUGAGAGUUAUUCAAUAAAAGAACUUGGGAGAGCAAAUUUAAAAAUUUAAACUAGAAACCACAGUCCUAGAGUGAUAUAUACACACACACUUCUGGUACAUUAUUAACCAAAUUCAUUUUGCUAAAAGAUAGCCACAUUUUUUUCCCACUAAAUUAUAGAAUUCGGAUACUCUUCCAUUUGCUUUUUGUUUAUUUGUUUUUAAUUUUUUUUUCUUUUUUUCAGAGACAGGGUCUCACUGUGUGUUGCCCAGGCAGGUCUCGAACUUCUGGACUCAAGUGAUCCUCCUGCCUUGGCCUUCCAAAGUGUAAUCCCAAAAUGCCAGGAUUACAGGUAUGAACUGCCAUGCCUGGCCAAGUUAGAAUCUCAUUUGUAUUCUUAUACUCACUUUUGAAAAUUUUUUGAAUCUAACCUAGGUUGGGGGUGGGAGUACUGUGUAUUUCACAGACUAUAUUAAAUGUGUUUUUCUAGUGAAAAUUGUGGUACUUACAUUUACUAGAAAAGGCUAGUAAUUUUAUUACUGUAAUUCCAUAAUUGUUUCUCCAUUGUAUAAUUAGCAUAUCAUUUAAUUGGAUUCACCUGAAUAGUCUCAUGAACGAUGCAGCAUGUUAUUUUUCUUUCAUUAGGUUCAUCUUCCACUUUUCUUUCCCAUUCCAUGUUCCAGUAAGAGCAAAUUACUGUACUGUACAUUAAAACUAAAAAUUAGGCCAGCUGUGGUGGCUCACGCCUAUAAUCCCAGCACUUUGGGAGGCUGUGGUGGGCAGAUCACAAAGUCAGGAGUUUGAGACCAGCCUGACUAACAUGGUGAAAUCCCGUUUUUACUAAAAAUACAAAAGUUAACCAGGCAUGGUAGUGUGCACCUGUAAUCCCAGCUACUCAGGAGGCUGAGACAGGAGAAUCACUUGGACCCGGGAGGCGGAGUUUGCAGUGAGCUGAGAUCACACCACUGCAUUCCAGCCUGGGCGACAGAACAAGACUCCGUCUUAAAAACAAAACAAAACACACACACACACACACACACACACAAUAGAAAUAGCCCAAAUGACCAACAGCAGGGAAUAGGAAAGCCAACAGUGGUGUUAUGGCAAUGGAUAUUUAUAUUGAUCUAUUAAUAAUACUAUGUAUACAUCAUAACACUGAUGCAAUAGCAGCUACACAGGAGGCUGAGGUGGGAGGAUCUCUUGAGGCCAGGAGUUCGAGACUGCAGUGAGCUAU
rnacentral:lncRNA from 1 species